rnacentral:rRNA from 1 species
UACAGAGGGUGCAAGCGUUAAUCGGAAUUACUGGGCGUAAAGCGAGCGUAGGUGGCUUGAUAAGUCAGAUGUGAAAUCCCCGGGCUUAACCUGGGAACUGCAUCUGAAACUGUUAGGCUAGAGUAGGCGAGAGGGAAGUAGAAUUUCAGGUGUAGCGGUGAAAUGCGUAGAGAUCUGAAGGAAUACCGAUGGCGAAGGCAGCUUCCUGGCAUCAUACUGACACUGAGGCUCGAAAGCGUGGGUAGCAAACAGG